rnacentral:rRNA from 1 species
AUACGUAGGUGGCAAGCGUUGUCCGGAAUUAUUGGGCGUAAAGCGCGCGCAGGUGGUUCCUUAAGUCUGAUGUGAAAGCCCCCGGCUCAACCGGGGAGGGUCAUUGGAAACUGGGGAACUUGAGUGCAGAAGAGGAUAGUGGAAUUCCAAGUGUAGCGGUGAAAUGCGUAGAGAUUUGGAGGAACACCAGUGGCGAAGGCGACUGUCUGGUCUGUAACUGACACUGAGGCGCGAAAGCGUGGGGAGCAAACAGGAUUAGAUACCCUGGUAGUCCACGCCGUAAACGAUGAGUGCUAAGUGUUGGGGGGUUUCCGCCCCUCAGUGUUGCAGCUAACGCAUUAAGCACUCCGCCUGGGGAGUACGGUCGCAAGACUGAAACUCAAAUGAAUUGACGGGG